GACGAACGCUGGCGGCGUGCCUAAUACAUGCAAGUUGAGCGAUGAAGAUUGGUGCUUGCACCAAUUUGAAGAGCAGCGAACGGGUGAGUAACGCGUGGGGAAUCUGCCUUUGAGCGGGGGACAACAUUUGGAAACGAAUGCUAAUACCGCAUAAUAACUUUAAACAUAAGUUUUAAGUUUGAAAGAUGCAAUUGCAUCACUCAAAGAUGAUCCCGCGUUGUAUUAGCUAGUUGGUGAGGUAAAGGCUCACCAAGGCGAUGAUACAUAGCCGACCUGAGAGGGUGAUCGGCCACAUUGGGACUGAGACACGGCCCAAACGCCUACGGGAGGCAGCAGUAGGGAAUCUUCGGCAAUGGACGAAAGUCUGACCGAGCAACGCCGCGUGAGUGAAGAAGGUUGUCGGAUCGUAAAACUCUGUUGGUAGAGAAGAACGUUGGUGAGAGUGGAAAGCUCAUCAAGUGACGGUAACUACCCAGAAAGGGACGGCUAACUACGUG
rnacentral:rRNA from 1 species